ACUUUUAUAGUGUUAACAUAAACACAUUACUCUUUCAUAGUAAAAAUAAGAAGUUUUUCUUUUCAAGUA
rnacentral:tRNA from 1 species